rnacentral:ncRNA from 1 species
UGCCAUAAGGGUCAGUAUUACCCUUAUGGCAAAUAUGUAGCAAGUAGCA